UACCCAGGCCUGCCUACCCACUUUGACUCUAUUACUGUUUGGGAUGCUGUCUCUUCAGCUGAUUGAACAGUUUCGUAGUGUUGACAUACAUUAUUCUAAGAGUAUAACACGACAGACCUGUAUGUGGAGGAAGUGGAGGACUGACAUCGGGCAUACUGUGCACACGUACUGUGAGCAGAGUGGACUCUGUGCGCA